AAUAUCUGUGGAAAUACAGUUUUAACGAGGAUAAAGGAAUCGCUAAGGGUAAAACAAAAGGCCGACUGACACUGCCAGUAACAAAUAUCCUGAUCAUUUGUUUGUAAUAAUAAAUAUUAUUUACUAAAGUACGUAUUUCCUUCUGAGUCAGGAUGUAUUCUAGAUCAAAACUUCCUGAAAAACAACCGCAUCCUUUACUCAUUGUACCGCGAUCUGUCUGGGUAGUAAAACACUUUUUUGGUGUUUCACGCCUGCAGUGAGAUUUUGAAUCUAAGCAUGUCCUGAAGAGCGAUAAAUGACAUCAUUACGACUAGCAUGUUAUCAAAGGAAACUGAUGCACGAAGCCGGAUGUGCUGCUACCACUGAUUAAUCUACGCAGCUACAUUGCUUACCUAAUAACACUCAAGCCACUAAAACGAAAACACCACUGAGAAGCCUAAAGAAAUGUCAAACUAUUGUUGUUGCGACCAUUUACACUGCCAUAAAACGAUCGUUGCGUAAACUGUAAGAUCUAAACAGCUUCAGGCACCUAACGCUCGAACCACCAUUUGCACGUUCGUAUGACGUCAUUUUCCCACGUCUCCGGUCUGUCGACCUGCAUGUUAUAUAUUUAAGCGAAACAGCGGCAGUCAGCGCAUGCCCAAAUUCGGAGCGUGGCUCGCUUUCAGCGCUCACUUCAGCAUAAUAGCGCUGUACAUUUACUCAUAACAGAAAACCUGCUACAAGCUGCUUAAUGCGUGUAAUGCGCAUAUCUCUCGAUCCAAAAAACUGCAUUGACUGAACUAAUUCGUGGUAAACUAUUCUACGAACCAAAUUUAAAGAAAAUACACGAAUAGACGCGUAUUAGACCUGUAUUUCACUAAUUAAACCCAUAAUGUAUAACGGCUACCGGAAAACAGAGAGACGUUACGUCAUAAGUAAGUCACAUACUUGAGAAAAGGAAGCCUAUCAUUAAACCGGCAUCGUUCGGUCACUGAGCCAAGACCGAUUCUCCCAAUUUACAAGCAUCUAUAAAACUGUAAGUAUGAUUUAUAGUUAUUAGGCUUAAGUCAGCUACGCUGCGCGAAAAUCUAAUAGUUCUCAUAUUUUGGUACCACUUUAUCAACACUCUCGACUUUAAACCUUUAAUGUGAAAUUUGAAUCAAGAAAUAUUAAAGCCAACUACAUAAGUAGCACCGACAGAUAUUGAACAAGUGGCUGGCAGCUUUAUAGAAAGAACGUUGUGAGGCAAACCGGCAUUACGCGGCCGCCCGGCUUCCGGUAUUUGCAGCUACGUUCACAGGUCCCUUGUUUACUUUACUCUAUUUCAGCUUCUCAUUUAAAUCGCCUUGAAUCGACACUCUGUUGCUUUUCAAUAAAUGCAACGCUCCAUUGAGCCAUAAGCGCUCAUCGGGUGACCGUGACGUAAGUAAAUUCUCCUGUGGCAUAGUCGUGCCGAAGCGCAAAUACCGCGAGCACUACUCGACUUGGACAAACUCAAAAAACCGCUGUGUUUUUUACCGGUUUGCUAAAGGCGUAGCUAACUCAUCAAACACGAUGAGACAGAUACGCAUCAAAACUUCAAGCCUAUUUAAACCUGAUAACUAUCUCUGUUUGAAACUUACUUUGUAGCAAUUGUGUCCAGCUGUAAUCACACAUAAACAGUUGCAUCAAAUAAUUUACAAAAUUGGUCGGUCAAACAUUAAGUCUUCUUACCAUAGACAGUAUACUUCCUAUAGUGUUCGUUUUUAUUCCGGGAAAUGCGUAAUCGCUCAGGAUACACCUAUAGC